AUUGAACGCUGGCGGCAUGCCUUACACAUGCAAGUCGAACGGUAACAGGUCUUCGGAUGCUGACGAGUGGCGAGCGGGUGAGUAAUACAUCGGAACGUGCCUAGUAGUGGGGGAUAACUACUCGAAAGAGUGGCUAAUACCGCAUGAGAUCUACGGAUGAAAGCAGGGGAUCGCAAGACCUUGUGCUACUAGAGCGGCCGAUGGCAGAUUAGGUAGUUGGUGGGAUAAAAGCUUACCAAGCCGACGAUCUGUAGCUGGUCUGAGAGGCCGAUCAGCCACACUGGGACUGACACACGGCGCAGACUCCUACGGGAGGCAGCAGUGGGGAAUUUUGGACAAUGGGCGAAAGCCUGAUCCAGCAAUGCCGCGUGCAGGAUGAAGGCCUUCGGGUUGUAAACUGCUUUUGUACGGAACGAAAAGCCCCGGGUUAAUACCCUGGGGUCAUGACGGUACCGUAAGAAUAAGCACCGGCUAACUACGUGCCAGCCGCCGCGGUAA
rnacentral:rRNA from 1 species